AGUGCCUUUCAGAUCAUGUUUUAAAACCCUCCACGUCUGGCGUGGGGAACGCGGCGGCGGCUUGGUGGUGGAUAGCAAGAGGCAAAGGUGUCACCGAGCUGCUCAUGGUGAUAGAAGUCUGCUUAGAGAAGGCCACAGCUGGGCUCUAGGAGCAGAGUGGAAGCUGAUAUGGAGAUUGGGGGAAGGGGAGAAUCAUAGAGAGAAGGAGAGAUAUCACAAUACCACCCACCAUUCAUGAAAUGUCCCAUGAUGCUGUGUCUGGUGCUCCCAUGUGACUCUGGAGGCUGGAACCUGGGUCUUCAAGGCUGUAUGGACCAAAAAAACUUUUGGGAUGCAGAAGGUGGAAGGUCUGACUUCUGUAACUGCUUCUUCACUGGACAUGGGCAUUGCCACCAAGUUGCAGAUGCUACUAUGAUUCCAUUCUGACCACCCUGCACAGAUGACCUCAACGUUGUGUCCUGGAACCUCAGCUUUCUAGAGCCCUACCCCACUAGGGAAUGACAGAAAAAGGUUGAGGGUAUGGCUUGACCUACAAAACGUCUGUGUUUAAUGGAGAAGCAAUUACAUAAGCCAGACCUUCCACCUUCUGCACCCCAUGAGGAAUUUUGGUCCAUACUCCCAGAGGGAUAAAGAAUAGGAAAGUUUCCAGUGGAGGAGAUGGGACAUGGAACUCUGGUGGUGGGAACUGUAUGGACUGAUACAGCCAUGUUUUCUUACAAUAUUGCUAAUCAUUAUUAAAUAACUAAAAAAAAAAAAGAAUAAAAGAAGGGGCCUGGGCAGUGGAGCAGCCAGUACAUAUGAGCACAUAUGUCACAAUGAGCAAGGACCCUGGUUCAAGCUCCUGGUCCCCACCUGAAGAGGGGAAGCUUCCUGAGUGGUGAUGAGGUGCUGCAGCUCUCUCUCUCUCUUUCUCUUCCCUCUCUAUCUCCCCCUCUUCCCUCAAUUUCUCUGUCUCUAUUAAAAACUAAAAACAUAUCCAAAAUAAACAAGUAAAACUUAUUUUAAAAAGGAUAAAAGGAAAAAAAAAAGUCAUCCAUCACAAAAAGAAGCAGUAGUAUCAACCAAAACUGACGGUGUGCUCGUCUCUGCGUUACCUAAAGAAGGUUGACCUGUGGCCUCUGCUCCCAGAAAUGGCACCUUAAGUGCUUACUCAGUAAGUAGAUUUCUGUUCUGAUUGUGUUCUGUUUCCCUGACUGCCGAGCAAGACAUGGGCCUAUUCAUGUUGGACUUUCCCACCUCUGCUGAAGUGUGUCUAGUAGUUGUACCUCAAGUUGCAGUCACUUGUGUUUAGGGAUCAAGGAUUCUAGCGUGAUUAGCCAGACAACUCUGAAGCCUGGCAACUGAGCUAGGAAGCCUCUCUCUCAUUCCCAAAUGAAGUGGUCACCUCCCCUGGUUGUUCUGACAGCAAUGCUCAAACACCAGCCUGUUCCCACAAAGCCUGAAAAUAAGGCAGAACUCAGCAGCUAAAGUUGAUGAUUUGCUUGAAGUAGCAGGGACGAGGAUUUGGAAUUCCUCCACAGUCAUGUGCACACAAAGAAACCUCUUCCUUUGUGUGGUCCUGCCUCCCCUGGGAUUGUCUCACAUGAUUCUUUCAGGGAGGGGUUUGCUUCAGACCUCCAUCCCCUCUCCCCCUUAGCAGUCUUACCUCACUUGGAGGCAUUUGUCCCUGUCUGAGUCUCCAAAACAACACAGUGACUUGGAGCGGUUGGUGACCUUCUGUUGCAGUAAUUCCCUCCUUUGGGCAUUACAAUUGAUUUUCUUCCUUGUGGCUUGUAAAGAUUCAAAGUAUGCCCCUUGCUCCUUGUCCCUUGAGGGUCCCUCCAUCGGCAGCUGAGUUGGGGACAAGGCACGGGCUGGCCACCAGUGUGUGUUAGAAGGAGGGAUUCCUGGAACACCUGCCAGCCAGAAGCCCUGUCUGACUAUGUACCAUGGGUGGGAGCCACGCACUGGAUCUCAGCAGGGCCACCAUUGCUGCAACUUCCUUGCUGAAUUGGAUUUUAAUGAAAGAGGACUGAGAUCCCUUUAUUUGUCAGUGAGUCCAUCUUGAAAAUUCUAUGAUUGGGAGUCAGGCGGUAGCACAGUGGGUUAAGCGCAGGUGGCUCAAAGUGCAAGGACCAGCUGAAGGAUCUUGGUUCGAGCCCCCGGUUCCCCACCUGCAGGGGAGUCACUUCACAGGCGGUGAAGCAGGUCUGCAGGUGUCUAUGUUUCUCUCCCCGUCUCUGUCUUCCCCUCCUCUCUCCAUUUCUCUCUGUCCUAUCCAACAACAAUGACAUCAAUAACAACAACAACAAUAACUAUAACAAUAAAGAACAACAAGGGCAACAAAAGGGAAUAAAUAAAUAAAAUAAAAAUAUUUAAAAGAGAGAAAAUUCUAUGAUUGUGUCAGUUUGCAGAGAACUCCUUGUGGCCUCCCCGCUAGGGUUUCCCAGUGGGUGAGAAGGGUCUCUGCUUCUGUUAUUCCUAAUCUCUACUUCCCUACGUCGGUCUUUAGGUUAGAAUAACUCCUCAUAAUGACCCUGGG